AGCAGCCGCGGUAAUUCCAGCUCCAAUAGCGUAUAUUAAAGUUGUUGCAGUUAAAAAGCUCGUAGUUGAAUUUCGGGAUCAAGUCGUCGGUCGUGCCUCGGUACGCACUGGUGACAUUGGUUUCUCCCUUCUGAAGAACCUUGAUGUCAUUAAUUUGGUGUCUUGGGGAAUCAGGACUGUUACUUUGAAAAAAUUAGAGUGUUUAAAGCAAGCUCACGCUUGAAUACAUUAGCAUGGAAUAAUGAAAUAGGACGUUUGAUUCUAUUUUGUUGGUUUCUAGGAUCGACGUAAUGAUUAAUAGGGAUAGUUGGGGGCAUUAGUAUUCAAUUGUCAGAGGUGAAAUUCUUGGAUUUAUUGAAGACUAACUACUGCGAAAGCAUUUGCCAAGGAUGUUUUCAUUAAUCAAGAACGAAAGUUAGGGGAUCGAAGACGAUCAGAUACCGUCGUAGUCUUAACCAUAAACUAUGCCGACUAGGGAUCGGAUGAUGUUAAUUUUUUAAUGACUCAUUCGGCGUCCG
rnacentral:rRNA from 1 species